rnacentral:rRNA from 1 species
CCUACGGGAGGCAGCAGUGGGGAAUUUUGGACAAUGGGCGAAAGCCUGAUCCAGCAAUGCCGCGUGCAGGAAGAAGGCCUUCGGGUUGUAAACUGCUUUUGUACGGAACGAAACGGUCUGCUUUAAUACAGUGGGCUAAUGACGGUACCGUAAGAAUAAGCACCGGCUAACUACGUGCCAGCAGCCGCGGUAAUACGUAGGGUGCGAGCGUUAAUCGGAAUUACUGGGCGUAAAGCGUGCGCAGGCGGUUAUAUAAGACAGUUGUGAAAUCCCCGGGCUCAACCUGGGAAUUGCAUCUGUGACUGUAUAGCUAGAGUACGGUAGAGGGGGAUGGAAUUCCGCGUGCAGCAGUGAAAUGCGUAGAUAUGCGGAGGAACACCGAUGGCGAAGGCAAUCCCCUGGACCUGUACUGACGCUCAUGCACGAAAGCGUGGGGAGCAAACAGGAUUAGAUACCCUGGUAGUCCACGCCCUAAACGAUGUCAACUGGUUGUUGGGUGCAUUAGUACUCAGUAACGAAGCUAACGCGUGAAGUUGACCGCCUGGGGAGUACGGCCGCAAGGUUGAAACUCGAAAUGAAUUGACGGCUGAGACCGNGCGAGGAGACACGAGGGAGGAGG